AAAUUGAAGAGUUUGAUCAUGGCUCAGAUUGAACGCUGGCGGCAGGCCUAACACAUGCAAGUCGAGCGGUAACACAGGGAGCUUGCUCCUGGGUGACGAGCGGCGGACGGGUGAGUAAUGUCUGGGAAACUGCCUGAUGGAGGGGGAUAACUACUGGAAACGGUAGCUAAUACCGCAUAACGUCGCAAGACCAAAGAGGGGGACCUUCGGGCCUCUUGCCAUCAGAUGUGCCCAGAUGGGAUUAGCUAGUAGGUGGGGUAACGGCUCACCUAGGCGACGAUCCCUAGCUGGUCUGAGAGGAUGACCAGCCACACUGGAACU
rnacentral:rRNA from 1 species